rnacentral:lncRNA from 10 species
AACUGUUCUCAGUUCUUCUGCCUUAUUUCUGGCCUCCGUUGCAACUGUUUUGACCUAGUGAAGGCCUAGACUUUCUCAGACAGAUUUCUUUUAACUCUUCUGCCCUGACUCCAGUCUUCACUGGGAUGCUGCCUUGCACUUAGGGAAGGUUCACAUGCCUCAAGGAUCUCUCUCUCUCAGAUUUCUUGACUUUCCCUCAGUCUUCAGUAUAGUCCUCCUCUGUGCCUGGUGAAGACCUGUGGUAAAGUGCUGGCAGAGAGGAAGCUAAAUCACGUAAAAAUUAAGAAACAGCUCAGCGUUUCACAGCUAAGCUGCCGGCUUCCCCUUGAAGGAAUAGGAGUAGACCUGCUGAACUAUCACAUGAGAGAAGAGGCCCAAAAGCUUGCACACUACAGUCAAGCUGGCCCUUAAAGAGAUGGACCUAGAAGAUGCUGAGCCAGAUGUACUCAAUUACUUCUCCAAAAUUCAUCAAUUAGCUUCUAGGUUGGGAAAGGUGGUAUUCUGCCUAAG